UACGUAGGGUGCGAGCGUUAAUCGGAAUUACUGGGCGUAAAGCGUGCGCAGGCGGUUCGUUAAGUUCGAUGUGAAAUCCCCAGGCUCAACCUGGGAACUGCGUCUGAUACUGGAUGGCUUGAAUUCGGGAGAGGGAUGCAGAAUUCCAGGUGUAGCGGUGAAAUGCGUAGAUAUCUGGAGGAAUACCGGUGGCGAAGGCGGCAUCCUGGACCGACAUUGACGCUGAUGAGCGAAAGCUAGGGGAGCAAACGGG
rnacentral:rRNA from 1 species